rnacentral:piRNA from 1 species
UNGAAUGUAACUCGGAGAGCAGUGUCGACU